rnacentral:rRNA from 1 species
AUGGGGCUGCAGUGGAUGCUCCUGACGUGCGUGGUGGGGGCGGAGGCGGCGGUGGCCGCGCUGCUCACGCUCCCGGCGCCGCGGGCCGUGCGGGCACAGAUCGUCGGGCUCACCUCCAUGCUUCUGCAGCCCAUGGCCGCGGUGCUCCCCUUCGCCGCCUUCCAGCUACUUGAUAUCUACUGGAAGAACGAGCACAGGCUGAUUUGCACGGGAGAGAUGUGCACCUCCGAGGAGCGUGUCCGCUUCGAGAAAUCCAUUUUCAAGUCCCAGAGGAAUGUCAUCCUUUGUGUUUCAGUAUUUAUCCUUUAUUGGUCCAUCUAUCGCAUUUGCAAGUUCAACAAGGACAUUAAGGCACUGGAGGAGGUUGAGAAGCGCAUCAAGGAAGAGUAG